rnacentral:tmRNA from 1 species
GGGGCUGACUUGGAUUUCGACAGAUUUCUUGUCGCACAGAUAGCAUGCCAAGCGCUGCUUGUAAAACAGCAACAAAAAUAACUGUAAACAACACAGAUUACGCUCCAGCUUACGCUAAAGCUGCGUGAGUUAAUCUCCUUUUGGAGCUGGACUGAUUAGAAUUUCUAGCGUUUUAAUCACUCCAUAACCUUAAGCUAGACGCUUUUAAAAGGUGGUUCGCCUUUUAAACUAAGAAACAAGAACUCUUGAAACUACCUCAAGGUUUUAGAAAGUUGGACCAGAGCUAGUUUUAAGGCUAAAAAGCUAACCAAUUUUCUAAGCAUUGUAGAAGUUUGUGUUUAGGACAAGAUUUUUGGACUGGGGUUCGAUUCCCCACAGCUCCACCA